rnacentral:snRNA from 1 species
GGUUGUGACGGUGAUCUGGCUGGCUAGGUGGGUGUCCCCUUCCUCCCUCACUGCUCCAAGUGUGUCCCUCCCCAAGCUGCACGCUGGGUCGAAAACGACGACCAUCUCUGAUAGAGAAGGGUGGGUCUUUGGUCAGGGGUAUAGGAGCAGCUGUGCUCCCCUGCAAGAAACUCCAAACAAGCUCUCAAGAAAUGAAUCUCUUAACAAAUUCAGUGGCAUGUUUUUCAUCCAAUUAGUUCAGGUAUAGCAGGUCCUUGAAUAAAGCUGUUUCCU